AAAGACGGUUGACCAUAGAGCAUGCGCUGUCUCUAGGUCGUAUGUAAUAUGGUCCACGUCUUCU
rfam:Equus caballus chromosome 24, whole genome shotgun sequence.